rnacentral:rRNA from 1 species
GUGGGGAAUAUUGGACAAUGGGCGAAAGCCUGAUCCAGCCAUGCCGCGUGUGUGAAGAAGGUCUUCGGAUUGUAAAGCACUUUAAGUUGGGAGGAAGGGCAGUAAGUUAAUACCUUGCUGUUUUGACGUUACCGACAGAAUAAGCACCGGCUAACUUCGUGCCAGCAGCCGCGGUAAUACGAAGGGUGCAAGCGUUAAUCGGAAUUACUGGGCGUAAAGCGCGCGUAGGUGGUUUUGUAAGUUGGAGGUGAAAUCCCCGGGCUCAACCUGGGAACUGCCUCCAAAACUGCAUGACUAGAGUACGGUAGAGGGUAGUGGAAUUUCCUGUGUAGUGGUGAAAUGCGUAGAUAUAGGAAGGAACACCAGUGGCGAAGGCGACCACCUGGACUGAUACUGACACUGAGGUGCGAAAGCGUGGGGAGCAAACAGGAUUAGAAACCCGAGUAGUCC